UUGUGGAAAGCCUGAUGUGGACUUUAAUGGGAUGGUGUAUGGGAGUGAUUGGUGGGUGGGUUCUGUAGUGCGGUACGACUGCAGGCCAGGGUUCGUGUUGGUGGGAGAUCCUGCCUGAGCCUGUCAGUCCAAUGGGAAAUGGACACCCAAACCAUCCUGUCUCAGAGUGUGUCAUCGUGGCCGGGUUGAGAUCAGUGAGAAGGACAUUGACGGGACAUGUUCGUCCACCUGUCCUGAUGCUAAGACCUAUGCUGUCCCUCUGAACCACAAAUGCAGUCGAAUUGAGAACUGCAGAACUAAAGAAUCGGGCUGGAAGUGCUGGUUUACACGCUGCAACUACUGUGACUGCGACUGCUUCACUCCCUGCGAAAUCAUGGCUUUAUAGAGGAAAACUCACCCGAGUGGUCAUCACGUCCCCCCAGUCCUGGGAAAGGCAGCAAAGCUG